UUAUUUCAAAUAUCAACCGUUAGCAGUACCUGGACUUAAUACUACCCGCCCGCAGGAGAACAAGAGAGAAACCACUGAGAAGUCACACCAAGUGACACCCACCACCUCACCGAAGUGGAAACCACACAGGCCAAGUUAUUGUUACCAGCAAGCACUAUUCAAACGAUCAUU